UGGACAGUUCCUUUUGCUCUUUGCGCCACACUCUCUCGUCACUCAACCAGCUCUGCUAGUUCUGACCUGAAGGUUGCCCUUUCCCCCCUUUCUGUAUUGCCUAAUGAUCCCAAGAUGAUUGACAGUGACCAUCUUUUAACCUUUUGCACAUUUUUACAUGAUUUCCCAAUGUGCGGCUGCUCAGCCGAAGUGUUGGCUGGUGCAACAAGAGUUACCAUUUUGUUUCCACCCUACCCUCAACACCCGCUCAUGUUCCUUUUGUCUGGCUUCUCUGCUGCUUUUUCCCCUCUAUUGCUGCACAUUCUCCUGACAUGAUUGCAGAAGAACAAGUUUAAAAACUCUGCCUUUUGGGUUCCUUUCCCCUCUCAAAUCCCAGCUAGAGACAGAGUGGUGGUGCCUGCAGACACACACACAGAAGACGGCAUACAGUCUUCAUCUGUUUCUGUCUUUCCCUCUCUCCUUCCCACUCUGAUGUUGUCAGCCUUUCUUCUCCUCCUCCUGUCCCCGCCCCAGCCUUUUCUUUCUGCAGUGCUCCCAGCCUUUACUGCAGUGUAAUCCAUCACUCACAGGGCAUGGAGGGUGGCUAGAGGGAAAGUCACUAUUCACUUGCCCGGUAAAUUCUCAAAAUGUAGCCAGUUGUUCACUUGGCUUUUAAAUUUUUGAAUUUAUUUGGUUCCAUUGUUUCGAAAGAGGGGUUAGCGGUGGGGGGGGGGGGGGAUGUUCCUGCUAACAUUCCAGCAAAGGUGACUGAAAGGAAACCAAGGAGACAAGGGAGAGCUAAAGGCAGCAAGGAGGAACACAGAUGGAAACUGGGAGAAAGAUCAAGAGAGGCAAAGAAUGGGGGUGAGGAGGGGGAAUAGAGGGGAGCGGGGCUGAAAAGAAAGGAAAGCCAUCAUGAAAAUAAAAUUUAAAAAGCCAAAACGGGAUUCGACAAGCACAGAAAGGAAAAUGGAAGGGAAACAUGUGAAUUAUAGUGAGCAUACAUGAUGAGAAGAUACACAAAAUGACCGAUUUAAUUAGGAACACAGUCGAAAAAAAUUAAAAGAAAGGAGAAAGGAAGGAAGAAACUAGUAGUUACAUUUUGGCAUUUAAAUAUUUUCUCUAGUUCUCAUGCUACAACAACAAUGCUAUUGUUCAAAUGCCAGAUAUAGAAGCUAGUUACUGUGGACUGCUGAGAGAUUUCCAGGACAUUGUCUACAACAAGGAAUUUGUACUGCACCUGUGAGGCCGGAGGGAUCGAGAGCAGGACCUCCUCGGAAGAUCUUAAUCUACGAACUGGUUCAUAGAGGGAGAUAUGUUUGGACAGGGAUCUCCUUACAGUGACAUCUCCUGUUAGUGACAUCAGGGAAACCUCCGGCCAAUCCUUGCGUGGAUCUUAGCCAGUAUGGUUCUUCAGCCAAUCAGAAAGAGGCAAAGGAAGUCUGAAUAUCUAUCAGAACUGCAUAAAAUGUCUUGUAUAUUUCUGUGAAUUUAUGCUUGUACAUUUUGAGUAUGCUUCUGGUACUUGCAUCCCUUUUGGCCAAACUGUAAUAAAACUCUGUAGUUUGCCUUCAA